AAAUUGAAGAGUUUGAUCAUGGCUCAGAUUGAACGCUGGCGGCAGGCCUAACACAUGCAAGUCGAACGGUAACAGGAAGCAGCUUGCUGCUUUGCUGACGAGUGGCGGACGGGUGAGUAAUGUCUGGGAAACUGCCCGAU
rnacentral:rRNA from 1 species